rnacentral:misc_RNA from 1 species
GGCUUACCUCCUCAUUUAUGCGUCAUGACUUGUAUCGUCUUGAGCGUAUUGUGGGUUUCCUGUGUUGCAUACCUAACCAAUGGUAUCGUUUUGGUUGAUCGAAGUCCCUUUUCAUCUUGUGUUGCCUUUGCGACGCAUGAUGAACCUUGAAGCGGUCUCUAUGUUCCACCAUGUUGAUGCUAGUGUUUCGAUGUUGUGGCCCAUUGAGUGUUGCUUGGUUUCGUGGAUACAGAACAUGAUUUGGGCAUAGGGUCACUCGUGACUCUUGUUUUGUCCUUUACCAGUGUUCUUUAUAACGACGGUUCAUGUGCGCCUAGGCUCGUACCUGCGCGAUGUUCUYUGUCGAAGAGGAAUGCUACCUGGUUGAUCCUGCCAGUAGUCAUAUGCUUGUCUCAAAGAUUAAGCCA